rnacentral:rRNA from 1 species
UCGUGUCGUGAGAUGUUCGGUUAAGUCCGCUAACGAGCGCAACCCUCGCUGUGUGUUACAAGUGUCACACGGAACUGCCGGUCAUAAACCGGAGGAAGUGGGGAUGACGUCAAGUCAGCAUGGCCUUUAUAUCCUGGGCUACACACACGCUACAAUGGGAAGGGACAAUAGGUUGCGAAGCCGCGAGGUGGAGCCAAUCCAGCAAAACUUCCCUCAGUUCAGAUUGCAGGCUGCAACUCGCCUGCAUGAAGUUGGAGUUGCUAGUAAACGCAGGUCAGCCAUACUGCGUUGAAUACGUUCCCGGGGCUU